GCGGUUGUGGCGGAACGGCAGACGCACUACCUUGAGGGGGUAGCGAAGAAAUUCUUCGUGUGAGUUCAAAUCUCAUCAACCGCA
rfam:Vagococcus lutrae LBD1 adhBo-supercont1.4, whole genome shotgun sequence.